CGUUUCCCGUGCGUUGCGAACGAGCGAGCGAAGCCUUUGCCCUCGAGCGACGCCACACCAGACCCUUCGCCCUCGCAGCCGCCGCCGAUCCCCUCCCUCAAACGCCGCCGCCCUUCGCUGCCGCCCCCGCCACCUCCCGUCGCGGGCAGGCGGGAGGAGCCCUGCCCGGCCAUGGCGACACCCGCCGGCGGCCUCCUCCUCCCCCUCACCUUCUCUCCCUCUCCCAAGGGAGGGAAGGGAAUGGAAGGGAUCUGAUUGGAGCGGUCGAUCUGCGCCCUUGCCGUCUCUUCUUUCCUUCACCGAUUCCAGGAGGAGAUCGAAGUGGAAGGUAGACGAGCAGGAGCGCCGCGUCCACGACAGCGAUGAGCGACGACCCAGGUUCUCCUCUCCCAUGGCAGGGGUCGGCGAGUGGCAACAGAUGCGGGACACCAACUGGUGGCGCAACGGACAGCGAGAGGCAGGACACCAACUGGGCGCGCCUCUCGCGGCCGACUUCCACGGCGGCGACGUCGUUUACCUUGGCGCCUGAUUCUUUCCGACUCAGCGAUCCCCGCGGGCACCGAUGGACGGCGACGGGCAGCACGUGCGGCCGCGGAGCCGCGCGCUCCUGACCGACGACGAGGAUGACGGGGCGUACGCCAGCGACGUGUACAGCGGCAACCUCACCGCCACGGGCGGGUCUCGCGCUGGCCGGAUCUUGGGGCGGUAGCAGUACUUGGUGCAGCGCCGCCGUGGCGACUAUGGCAGCGUCGGGGUCGUCGUCGUCCUCAUCCGCACAGGGUAGCUGGACUGGGAGGUUUGCUGCUUCCGGUCAGCAGACGAUGGCUAUGACGCUAUGCCCAGCACGAGUGCUAACGCCAUCACGGCCGGCACCACUGAUGGAGCUCAUUUGGCUGAAUUUGCUACUGACUUGCCACAUUUUGAGGGCCUGCAAUUGAAGAAUACAACACUUGAGAUAACAAUUGAAGAAUACUAGAGUAAUAAUAACUACUGCAAGAGUGAUGUACUUUCUUUUUGUUGGAGAUUUUCUGCAUCUUUUAUGGACGGUAACAUUUGAGAUAACAAUUUGAUGUGCUAACCAUCAAGAUCAACUUCGACAUGUUUGGUCUCUAAAAGUUACUAUUGACCAUCAUUGGUGCAUCCUAUAAGAAGGGGAAAAUAAAGCAUUAAUGUGGAGUAUGUUCCAAUGGAAAUCUUCAGGAACACCUUGAAGGUCUGAGUGCAAUUUUUCUUUAGUUCUCUGUGAGCUUAAAAAUGCAACUGAUGUGGCCCAUGCAACUGAAAUUAAAAACAUGGAGAAGAAUCAUAAAAGAUCUCGCUGAAAAUGCCCUCGUUCUGCACUUCGUGUGGACAGGCAGCACCCUUUACCUUCGAAGUCUCGAAAAAUGGUCUGGGUGAUGCGGGUGCCUCAAUGCUUGAUGCCAUGUUCUGUAAGAGGCCAAGGUUGUAUUUGGGUGUCCACGCGCUACAGGGAAUUACUGUGCGGAGUAGUAAGAAUUGAUUUAAACGUAGAGCCUAGACUCGCACUCCAUGAGCAUCCAUGGCCGGCGAGACGGGACCCUCGACCCUCGGCCUCUGUUGAGAAGGAUCGUUCCACUGUGUCCGAUUUGUAGUACAGAGCAAUCUCAUUCCUCUGAAGUUCCUAUUGGGCAAAAUGGGCAAGAUGUGUUUGGCAAAAUGGAUAAGUCUGUAACUGGAACUCUGGAUAGUUGAUCCUCUGAAUGGCAAAAAAUUUAUCAAGUUGCUGAGAUUCAGGGGUCUGAAAUUAAGCCAUUUGUGGAUAGUUUAUCUAAAUGCCCAAAACCAACUUAGAGCUCCAGAGAGGUCUUGUUUUCUUGUACUAUGGAUUUAAGGUGAUUCUCAAGAGGAACAAGUCGCCAUGGACCGAUGAGAUCGAGAGACGGCUCCGCGGUUGCGUGGAGUGGCGGCUGAGAGGAGAGGCAAUAACAACUCGUUGUCCGUGACGGCCCGAGCAUUUGCGAGAGGGGAUGGAGCGGGGGUUGCAUCGUCACGGCCAGUUGCCAGAGUGGGUGGAGUGGUGGCCGCACGGACGCGCUCCUAGAGGUGCCGGUAUGCACCCUGAUUUUGAGCCUGGGAGGUUCCUUGCUCUGCCCUAUCCUCAAGGGUGUUCAUCUACUUUGGUAUCGUGCUCUGGAGUCAGGACGAUGCACUAAUGCAGGUUUGAUUCUUUACUUUUUCUUUUGUUUUAUUUGUAUACAUAUCCCUGAAUUUUGUGAGCCGUGAUUUAAAUGUUGUCGUGUGUGCCAUUGUCUCCUAUAUAAUUAUUCUAUUGAAGCACCGCUGCAACCCAGUUUGUUUAUCAAAUUGAUGCAAGAAACAAACUAAUACAUGGAGAGUAUAAAUUUAUUGCAUUAAUUUGUAUAUCCCUGCACCUACCGAUAGGUAGAGAUGGAUAAAUUUUGUAGCUUUUUGAUCCCGGUUUUUCCUAUUGAAAUUAUGGAUUUGGAAGCUAAUCAUGGAGUGUUUCGAUUGUCUGCUUACGGAAUCGCAAUAAGCACAAGUCUGCAACCUUGAAGGAAAACCCGUUGCAACUGAUGACAUAAUAUUACGUUGCAACAAGAAUGUAUAGAGCUGCAGAGCUCUGUGGAUCCUUCUCUUCACAAAAGGCGAGAAGCGGAGGCGUGUGCCUAGAGUAGCGGACCAUGAUGGAUUGAUGAGCUGAUGUCACGUGACGUACUCACGUGGCGGUUGUUUAGGCUCCGGCGGCUGGAGCCAUCAUCGACCAUGAUGCCGCGCCAGGAGCACAAGGGCUAAGACGAGGACAUGUUGGUGCCGAUGAAAUAAGGUGCUGCCGGUUGAUGGGGGCCUAACCAUGAGUCUAACUGAAAGUGAACGGGAGCGAUGUGUAGAAAAAAAUCUUAGCAUAUAGGCUGAAUUUGUAUAGUACUUCGAAUUUAUUAGGCAGUACCCCCUCCAUUUGUAUAUCACUUCCGAAUACAAGUUCAGGUUAUUAGGCAGUACUAUUGAAUUUAAGGAUUGAUACUUGAAGAUUUUAAAAGGUUACUAAAUUUUGUACCAAGUCUACUGUUAUGUAUGGGAAGAACAUGCGCUAAAAUAUUGAUAAUGCAUAUGAA